UGAAAGUAGUUUAAUCCUUUCCUUUCUUCUUAAGCUUUGCGAAAUGGGGCCAGAGCCCUAUUUAGUGGAGGAUUAAUUUUAUCCCAGAACAGGAGAAAGGCCUUUCUUAAUACUCUAACUUGUGUCCAGUGAAUUAUGAGGUUUCCACUCUGCUCAUUGGAAAUGGGCACUAGUUGAGCUCUAUGUGAGCUUUAGACACUGUUUCCUCUAAUCUUUUCAAGUAGUUAUUUCCCAUGUCUUAAGAAGUUUCCUCAGAUGCAUGCACUGAUCAGUACCCAAGUAAAUACUUAGGAGGGUUCCUCUGGAGGGAAUAUACUGAAUGGACAGAUUUGGGACACUGUCCAACCUUGAAGUUUGAAGACAUUCAACCUAUGCAAACGAUAUGAACGAAGAGGAGGGUGGCAAAUUCCCCCA
rnacentral:lncRNA from 1 species